rnacentral:rRNA from 1 species
GAUGAACGCUGGCGGCGUGCCUAAUACAUGCAAGUCGAGCGAACAGACGAGGAGCUUGCUCCUCUGACGUUAGCGGCGGACGGGUGAGUAACACGUGGAUAACCUACCUAUAAGACUGGGAUAACUUCGGGAAACCGGAGCUAAUACCGGAUAAUAUAUUGAACCGCAUGGUUCAAUAGUGACAGACGGUUUUGCUGUCACUUAUAGAUGGAUCCGCGCCGCAUUAGCUAGUUGGUAAGGUAACGGCUUACCAAGGCAACGAUGCGUAGCCGACCUGAGAGGGUGAUCGGCCACACUGGAACUGAGACACGGUCCAGACUCCUACGGGAGGCAGCAGUAGGGAAUCUUCCGCAAUGGGCGAAAGCUUGACGGAGCAACGCCGCGUGAGUGAUGAAGGUCUUCGGAUCGUAAAACUCUGUUAUUAGGGAAGAACAAAUGUGUAAGUAACUAUGCACGUCUUGACGGUACCUAAUCAGAAAGCCACGGCUAACUACGUG